ACCCUUUUGUAGUUCAUAAACAUGACUAGGUGUUCACACCUUUGUGUCAUAUGUGCCUCCCUCAUACCUUAUGACCUUGGCACAUUAUCUGUCUGAUG
rnacentral:snoRNA from 1 species